GUUUUAGUUUGAGCAAAGAUAGUCUGUGAGUAAUAUCUUAGUCAGGAGUAUAAUAUAGAGGUGGUAAUGUCUGUCCGACACGAAGUGUCAACAGUGAGGGGCAUGAACUGUAACAGGGCGCUCGCACAAGUAAAAAAAACUGGAACUUUAGAAACAAACUAAACAUAUAAAUACAACUUCACGGGGGCGAAACAUCAUCAAUUACUGUUGUAUUGAUAAAUUGGUACCAUCCAAAGACGCGAAAGAAUCAAAGAAAGCAACAUGGAAGAAAUUCAGCCGAAAAAAUGGAAGAAGAUGACAAUACAAACCAAAAAUUAUUUCAUAUCGAAUGUUAACAAUGUUCAGAAAAGGGCAAACCUAAAACUCAGAACAUGAACAUGAACAACUAAUUACUGAAGGAGAUAAGAUCGUGGCAAAGUGCGGAAACAUUUUUUAAACGGGAAAGAAGAACAAAAUUUGAACCCCAGGGGAUAACGGGAUAGUGGUGGAGGUGCUGCUGAACUUACAGGAAGAACAGGGAAAGAAGCACUUUUGUUUCCACUUUUUGUCAAAUAGCGCAAGUUAUAGACGUAAAAACGUGUUAUUGAAAAAGGGUGGUAGUUUGAAACUUGAUUUUUUCUUGUGGGUUUGUUUGAAGAGUACACUGUACACAACUCGACCAAGGCAUGUAGAUCAGAUUCAGAAUUCCAAAUUCAAGAUGAAAUUCAUUGUAUCCCAGUUACGAUUACAGCGAUCAAUGAGGACUAACAACAGCAUCUUUCAAGUCGCACCUAAUGGUUGCACCUAGUUCAUGCCAAAUGAAAUCAGAAUUGUGGUUUCGCACCUCUAGGUGUGUAGGGUAGCAUAAAUUUUUUAUUUGAGAUGGAUAUAUUGUAGCGAAGAUCCUAUAAAUCCAGGAAGACAUCGGGGCGCCAUCAAGUCGAUAAAACAGUGGCUAUAAGGAAUGGAAGCGGACGCGAGGCAUUUUUCCUGAUGAUACACCUUCUAGACUAUUCCAGAAUGUGAUGUUUUCUAGAAACUUUUCGUUUGCUAGGUAUAUAAGCAAAUUGAAUUGUGUUUAAAGGCAGUUUUAACAUCGACUCCGAAUUGAUGGUACUGAUUUCGCACUUUUGUGUUAUAAAUCUACAAGUAAUAAAUUUGGGUAAAAAGGAGUGAUAAAUAAUAAUUAUCUGUUAUAAAACGCGCAAUUUAUGGCCUAUUAUAAAUGUAUUAUUACAUAAUUAUUGUAAAUAAAUAAAUCACUUGAUUAAAUUUACGUUACAAGAUCUGCUUAAGCUUCACAGAAAGUAAAUCCUUAAACUGUUACCAGCACUAUACCAAUGGCCAAUAUCAACUUUCCUUUUCCAGUUGAAUACAUCGCACAUGAACGAAAAUAAAAAUACGGAAGCCAAAGAGGAAGAAGUUAUUUUAGUGGCAUAUGAUUGGUCGCUCUUCCCAAGAGAUUUUAUUAUUUAAAAGUAGACAUAGAGAAAAACAAUACACUUAAAUCCCUAAAUGUCUACUUCUUCAAACUAUCGCUGUAUAUUGUACCAACAAUGGUACAAGCUUUGAAUAUAUUAUAUUCAAAUGUACAAGCUUUAGCACUGUACUGAACCAAAUAGCGAAAAAAAGUGAACGGCCAUUUCCUUGCAGUUGGGAUGGUUGCGGUAAGAGAUUCGCACGUUCAGACGAACUGGCAAGGCAUACCCGAACUCACACAGGAGAGAAAAACUUUGCGUGUCCCGUAUGUAAUAAGAAGUUCAUGAGGAGCGAUCAUCUCAGCAAGCACGCUAGGAGACAUCCCAAUUUCGAUCCUUCAGUAUUACGCCAGCGUAGGGCGCCGAAUAGAGCUUUCUCAAUUAAUUCCAGCGAUGGAACUCCAUCCGAUGUUCUCUCAGACUCGAUGCCUAGUCCUUAAUGUGUGCAUGGACGUAGUUAGCUGUUAAUAGUUGUUCUGUAAAAAUAUUGUGCAACUGACAUAAAUGCGCAUAAUUGGAUUCUAAUACUGUUAAGUCUAAUUAUAAUGAUAUCCAAAUACUAUUUGUUUCCCUUUAUAAAUGUUAAUUUGGUGAAAUCAUUACUUGAGCGGUCAAAUAACAACUAACAACUGUUACGAUACCAGUUUGCACUGAAAACCUAAUAAUCUGGUAUUGUUUUUAUAUUUAGCACAUUGUGUCAAAUUUAAUAUGAAAUUAAUUUUUGUUCCCAGAACAAGAUACAUUACCUAUUUACAAAUUUCUUUUGUGACUCUUAAGCAAUGACAAAGCCAACAUAUCAAGUUUUUUUAGGAAACAUAUUUUUAUAAACUUUUAGCAUUGAAGGUAUAAUUUUUCAUGUGAUAGUUACUUAUCUAAGAUGUUAAGGAUGCUUGUAGAGAGUGUUUGCCUGGACUAUAAAAUGACCAUAGAUCUUAUGUAGGUAGACAAUUAGGAACAUGUACUUAUUUAUUUUAGUUUUUUUUGUACCUACUCAUCAUUUGCUUGUUUGCUUUAAUUUAGCAAACCCUUUGUAAUCUCGUUUUAAGUGGUUUUCAGUGAUAAGAAAACUUAACGUUGCUUAUUUCUCAUAAAAAUCGGCUUCUUUAGUACAAAUUACUUGCCAAUUACAUUAUCGGUACCUAGCAGUAACAUAAAUUUCCCACGUGUGGUAGAGAAAAGUAAGUAACCUAAAACAAUAAAUUAGUAAUAUAGUAGUAUUGAUAAUGAUUAAAUCACAGUCGUGUAUUAAGAACAAUUACUAAAUAAACCUAUUUUUACAUAAUUUGAAAAUAAAUAAACAAAUGUGUUAUAAUCUCUCCAUAAAAAUGAUAUGAUAAUUAUGCAACAUGCAUUUAACCGUUGCCACCGGAUGGCAACGAUUUAACUCGUUACUGAAUAUGAUAUUGAUUUGUGUUUUUACUAUACUUAUAGUUUCAUGUAUUACUUUAUUUAUGUAUUUACUUAAACUAGGUACUAUACAUACCUACAACAUUUGUUUGAUCAAUAUAAAUCUACCUACUCGUAGUACCCAUAGUUACACACAGGUUUUGACUUUAUGUUUAGUUUUACAGUUUGUACCUGUUUCAUCUGGUAGCCUAUUUAACACGUUUUUUUAAAGAAAUAUAUGUAUCUACAUAUA